rnacentral:rRNA from 1 species
GGUUAAGCGACUAAGCGUACACGGUGGAUGCCCUGGCAGUCAGAGGCGAUGAAGGACGUGCUAAUCUGCGAUAAGCGUCGGUAAGGUGAUAUGAACCGUUAUAACCGGCGAUUUCCGAAUGGGGAAACCCAGUGUGUUUCGACACACUAUCAUUAACUGAAUCCAUAGGUUAAUGAGGCGAACCGGGGGAACUGAAACAUCUAAGUACCCCGAGGAAAAGAAAUCAACCGAGAUUCCCCCAGUAGCGGCGAGCGAACGGGGAGCAGCCCAGAGCCUGAAUCAGUGUGUGUGUUAGUGGAAGCGUCUGGAAAGGCGCGCGAUACAGGGUGACAGCCCCGUACACAAAAAUGCACAUGCUGUGAGCUCGAUGAGUAGGGCGGGACACGUGGUAUCCUGUCUGAAUAUGGGGGGACCAUCCUCCAAGGCUAAAUACUCCUGACUGACCGAUAGUGAACCAGUACCGUGAGGGAAAGGCGAAAAGAACCCCGGCGAGGGGAGUGAAAAAGAACCUGAAACCGUGUACGUACAAGCAGUGGGAGCACGCUUAGGCGUGUGACUGCGUACCUUUUGUAUAAUGGGUCAGCGACUUAUAUUCUGUAGCAAGGUUAACCGAAUAGGGGAGCCGAAGGGAAACCGAGUCUUAACUGGGCGUUAAGUUGCAGGGUAUAGACCCGAAACCCGGUGAUCUAGCCAUGGGCAGGUUGAAGGUUGGGUAACACUAACUGGAGGACCGAACCGACUAAUGUUGAAAAAUUAGCGGAUGACUUGUGGCUGGGGGUGAAAGGCCAAUCAAACCGGGAGAUAGCUGGUUCUCCCCGAAAGCUAUUUAGGUAGCGCCUCGUGAAUUCAUCUCCGGGGGUAGAGCACUGUUUCGGCAAGGGGGUCAUCCCGACUUACCAACCCGAUGCAAACUGCGAAUACCGGAGAAUGUUAUCACGGGAGACACACGGCGGGUGCUAACGUCCGUCGUGAAGAGGGAAACAACCCAGACCGCCAGCUAAGGUCCCAAAGUCAUGGUUAAGUGGGAAACGAUGUGGGAAGGCCCAGACAGCCAGGAUGUUGGCUUAGAAGCAGCCAUCAUUUAAAGAAAGCGUAAUAGCUCACUGGUCGAGUCGGCCUGCGCGGAAGAUGUAACGGGGCUAAACCAUGCACCGAAGCUGCGGCAGCGACGCUUAUGCGUUGUUGGGUAGGGGAGCGUUCUGUAAGCCUGUGAAGGUGUGCUGUGAGGCAUGCUGGAGGUAUCAGAAGUGCGAAUGCUGACAUAAGUAACGAUAAAGCGGGUGAAAAGCCCGCUCGCCGGAAGACCAAGGGUUCCUGUCCAACGUUAAUCGGGGCAGGGUGAGUCGACCCCUAAGGCGAGGCCGAAAGGCGUAGUCGAUGGGAAACAGGUUAAUAUUCCUGUACUUGGUGUUACUGCGAAGGGGGGACGGAGAAGGCUAUGUUGGCCGGGCGACGGUUGUCCCGGUUUAAGCGUGUAGGCUGGUUUUCCAGGCAAAUCCGGAAAAUCAAGGCUGAGGCGUGAUGACGAGGCACUACGGUGCUGAAGCAACAAAUGCCCUGCUUCCAGGAAAAGCCUCUAAGCAUCAGGUAACAUCAAAUCGUACCCCAAACCGACACAGGUGGUCAGGUAGAGAAUACCAAGGCGCUUGAGAGAACUCGGGUGAAGGAACUAGGCAAAAUGGUGCCGUAACUUCGGGAGAAGGCACGCUGAUAUGUAGGUGAGGUCCCUCGCGGAUGGAGCUGAAAUCAGUCGAAGAUACCAGCUGGCUGCAACUGUUUAUUAAAAACACAGCACUGUGCAAACACGAAAGUGGACGUAUACGGUGUGACGCCUGCCCGGUGCCGGAAGGUUAAUUGAUGGGGUUAGCGCAAGCGAAGCUCUUGAUCGAAGCCCCGGUAAACGGCGGCCGUAACUAUAACGGUCCUAAGGUAGCGAAAUUCCUUGUCGGGUAAGUUCCGACCUGCACGAAUGGCGUAAUGAUGGCCAGGCUGUCUCCACCCGAGACUCAGUGAAAUUGAACUCGCUGUGAAGAUGCAGUGUACCCGCGGCAAGACGGAAAGACCCCGUGAACCUUUACUAUAGCUUGACACUGAACAUUGAGCCUUGAUGUGUAGGAUAGGUGGGAGGCUUAGAAGUGUGGACGCCAGUCUGCAUGGAGCCGACCUUGAAAUACCACCCUUUAAUGUUUGAUGUUCUAACGUUGACCCGUAAUCCGGGUUGCGGACAGUGUCUGGUGGGUAGUUUGACUGGGGCGGUCUCCUCCUAAAGAGUAACGGAGGAGCACGAAGGUUGGCUAAUCCUGGUCGGACAUCAGGAGGUUAGUGCAAUGGCAUAAGCCAGCUUGACUGCGAGCGUGACGGCGCGAGCAGGUGCGAAAGCAGGUCAUAGUGAUCCGGUGGUUCUGAAUGGAAGGGCCAUCGCUCAACGGAUAAAAGGUACUCCGGGGAUAACAGGCUGAUACCGCCCAAGAGUUCAUAUCGACGGCGGUGUUUGGCACCUCGAUGUCGGCUCAUCACAUCCUGGGGCUGAAGUAGGUCCCAAGGGUAUGGCUGUUCGCCAUUUAAAGUGGUACGCGAGCUGGGUUUAGAACGUCGUGAGACAGUUCGGUCCCUAUCUGCCGUGGGCGCUGGAGAACUGAGGGGGGGCUGCUCCUAGUACGAGAGGACCGGAGUGGACGCAUCACUGGUGUUCGGGUUGUCAUGCCAAUGGCACUGCCCGGUAGCUAAAUGCGGAAGAGAUAAGUGCUGAAAGCAUCUAAGCACGAAACUUGCCCCGAGAUGAGUUCUCCCUGACCCUUUAAGGGUCCUGAAGGAACGUUGAAGACGACGACGUUGAUAGGCCGGGUGUGUAAGCGCAGCGAUGCGUUGAGCUAACCGGUACUAAUGAACCGUGAGGCUUAACCUU